ACGGCUCAGUAACACGUGGACAACCUACCCUUGGGACGGGGAUAAACCCGGGAAACUGGGUAUAAUACCCGAUAGAUCUCGGAAGCUGGAAUGCAUCGAGAUCGAAAGCUCCGGUGCCCAAGGAUGGGUCUGCGGCCUAUCAGGUAGUAGUGGGUGUAGCGUACCUACUAGCCUACGACGGGUACGGGUUGUGAGAGCAAGAGCCCGGAGAUGGAUUCUGAGACACGAAUCCAGGCCCUACGGGGUGCAGCAGGCGCGAAAACUUUACAAUGCCGGCAACGGCGAUAAGGGGACCUCGAGUGCCAGGUUACAAAUCUGGCUGUCGUAAUGCCUAAAAAGCAUUUCAUAGCAAGGGCCGGGCAAGACCGGUGCCAGCCGCCGCGGUAACACCGGCGGCUCGAGUGGUAACCGUUAUUAUUGGGUCUAAAGGGUCUGUAGCCGGCCGGAUA
rnacentral:rRNA from 1 species